UGAUGAUAGAUCUCCAAGAACAGGGCUGGACAGCCCUGCUUAAGCUGUUGUAGGAAAAAGAAAGAGAAUUUGCCUUGCCGUGGGAGGACCGCCUGGAGGAGGCCCAUGAGAGGAAGAGGGCCAAGCAUGAAGACCAUGUCAUCGACUGCCGUUGACACUUCUGCUGUACACGCCGGACAGCUCCCGCAGCGCCUGUAGCUGCAUCGUGAACUGGUCCGCCUGACAGAGAAGACAAAGAAGAGGAGAAGAUGAAGAGCGCUUCAGCUUUUCGGCAAAGAAACGCGACCGGCCCGCGUCCGCGGUUCAGCGCGUUGGCCUCAGCUGCAAAACAACUGGAUUCUAUUCAGUCUUCCGUUCACCCUGUUCAUGUAUGCAAUGGUGCAAAUAAAGAUGGCAGAUCUGU